CGGAGGGGAUGGGCACCCCGAAAUCACUGAGAGGGGCUGGGUACCCCGAAAUCGGAGGGGUUGGGCACCCCGAAAUCACUGAGAGGGGCUGGGUACCCCGAAAUCACUGAGAGGGGUUGGGCACCCCGAAAUCACUGAUAGGGGUUGGGCACCCCGAAAUCACUGAGAGGGGUUGGGGUACCCCGAAAUCGGAGGGGGAUUGGGGUAGGACACCCCAAAAUGACUGAUAGGGGUUGGAUGGGGCACCCCAAAAUCACUGAGAGGGGUUGGGGUACCCCGAAAUUGGAGAGGGGUUGGGCACCCCGAAAUCACUGAUAGGGGUUGGAUGGGACACCCCAAAAUCACUGAGAAGAGCUGGAUGGGGGUACCCCAAAAUCACUGAGAGGGGUUGGGGUACCCUGAAAUCACUGAGAGGGGUUGGGGUGAGAUGGGGACACCCCAAAAUCACUGAGAGGGGUUGUAAUGGGUGGGAGAACCCUCAGGGCACCCCAAAUUCACUGAGGGGGGUUGGGGUGGGAUAGGGACACCCCAAAUUCACUGACAGGAGUGAGGACCCCCGAAAUCACUGAGAGGGGCUGGGGGUACCCCGAAAUCACUGAGAAUGGUUGGGGUGGGUGGGGGCACCCUCAGGACACCCCAAAAUCACUGAGAGGGGUUGGGAUGGGGCAGGUUUGGGGUUUGGGGACCCCCCCAGACACCCCAAUAUCACAGAAGGCUCAGAAUGGGGGAAAUUUGGGGUUUGCAGACCCCCAAAAUCAGAAAGAGGGGUUGGGAUGGGGCAGGUUUGGGUUUAGGGUCAGGAUCAGGAGGACAAGGAGACCCCAAAUUGGGGGGUCCCAGGGUGGUUCACCCCAAAUUUUGGGUUCAUUUUUCCCAGGAAUGGGGCAAGGAGCAGGA